CUAUUCAAACGGCCCGCCGCCCAAAACUCGUCGUCGUGCGGGUGCCGGGUACAAUUACGCCACGUCGUCCGAAUAUAUAAAUAUCACUUGUAAUUUGUUACGUAUAUGAUAAACCGAUGUUAUGAUAUUGGUAUUUGUUGACCUAUAAAUAGAUUUUCCUUUAUUAUUAUUCAGACCAGCGGUCCUUUCGGGCUCAAAACCUAUUUAUUUGAGGAUCUUAUUACGUCGUUAC